CCUACGGGAGGCAGCAGUAGGGAAUUUUGCGCAAUGGGCGAAAGCCUGACGCAGCAACACCGCGUGAAUGUUAAGUCCUUUGGGGUGUAAAGUUCUGUCAAUAGGGACGAAUUUUGACUGUACCUAUAAAGGAAGCACCAGUGCACUCCGUGCCAGCAGCCGCGGUCAUACGGGGGGUCCACGCGGUGUCAGGAAUCAUUGGGCGUAAAGCGUUCUUUGGUGGCAAGGUAAGUCUGAUGGUAAAGCCCGGGGGUCAACUCCGGUUCGGCAUUGGAUACUAGCUAGCUAGACUGGGGUAGAGGUAAAGGGAAUUCGUGGUGUAGCGGGGAAAUGCGUAGAUAUCAGGAGGAACAUCGAUGGCGAAGGCACUUUACUGGACCAAUAUUGACGCUGAGGAACGAAAGCCAGGGGAGCAAAUGGGAUUAGAUACCCCAGUAGUC
rnacentral:rRNA from 1 species